GUCAUUAAGAGCAGCUGUGUCAGCUUUGC
rnacentral:piRNA from 1 species